GACGAACGCUGGCGGCGUGCUUAACACAUGCAAGUCGAACGGAAAGGCCCUGCUUUUGUGGGGUGCUCGAGUGGCGAACGGGUGAGUAACACGUGAGUAACCUGCCCUUGACUUUGGGAUAACUUCAGGAAACUGGGGCUAAUACCGGAUAGGAGCUCCUGCUGCAUGGUGGGGGUUGGAAAGUUUCGGCGGUUGGGGAUGGACUCGCGGCUUAUCAGCUUGUUGGUGGGGUAGUGGCUUACCAAGGCUUUGACGGGUAGCCGGCCUGAGAGGGUGACCGGCCACAUGGGGACUGAGAUACGGCCCAGACUCCUACGGGAGGCAGCAGUGGGGAAUAUUGCACAAUGGGCGGAAGCCUGAUGCAGCAGCGCCGCGUGCGGGAUGACGGCCUUCGGGUUGUAAACCGCUUUCGCCUGUGACGAAGCGUGAGUGACGGUAAUGGGUAAAGAAGCACCGGCUAACUACGUG
rnacentral:rRNA from 1 species